GCCAGACAUGGUGUUGCAUGCCUGUAAUCCCAGUGACUCGGAGGCUGAGGCUGGAGGAUGGCAAGUUCAAAGCCAUCUUGAGCAACUUUGCAAGAUCCUGUGU
rnacentral:sRNA from 1 species